rnacentral:lncRNA from 1 species
AUGUGGAACGGGAUAAUGAAUUUGCCAGGCAAUUUUCCUAUCACUUCUCCUGAAGAUACGCCUUUGCUGGGGUGUAAGGAAGCCUUCAGUGACUUGACUCACCACAAAGUCUAUUUAAUAAAAAGAAGGCCGUGCACACUUGUGUGGCUCCAGUCCCGUGGACUGCUGUUGUCUUCAAUUGCACAGGAAGCAGCAACACUUGGGGAAUGUUAA